UACGGAGGGUGCGAGCGUUAAUCGGAAUUACUGGGCGUAAAGCGCGCGUAGGCGGUUUGUUAAGUUGGAUGUGAAAUCCCCGGGCUCAACCUGGGAACUGCAUCCAAAACUGGCAGACUAGAGUACAGUAGAGGAUGGUGGAAUUUCAGGUGUAGCGGUGAAAUGCGUAGAGAUCUGAAGGAACAUCAGUGGCGAAGGCGGCCAUCUGGACUGAUACUGACGCUGAGGUGCGAAAGCGUGGGGAGCAAACAGG
rnacentral:rRNA from 1 species